CUUGAGACUUGGGACUAGUCUUACUUUAGCUUUCAGAGACCCACUCAAAACCUGAUCAGUCAGUCUCCGUCGUAGCCGUCGCUGGUCCAGCAACGCCAUCGCAUUCUCACUGGUUCAGUGGCCGUGGAUCAGGCUUGAACAAACAAAUAUCAAUUCAAAAAAGACUUGGUAGUUUUGAGUGCUGCAGAAAUGGCAAGUAAUUACCAUCACCUGCCAAAGGAGCUUAUUGUAGAGAUAAUGUCGCGGCUACCUACCGAGUCUCUGAUUCGGUGCAAGUGUGUCUGCAAGUCGUGGUUCGCGCUUAUCAAUGAUGUCAUCUCCGACCAGACAUUCGUGGCCAAGCAUCUCCACAAUGUCAACAGCAAGAUCUCGCCCUCCUCAUCCUUGAUUUACGUUGAUUGUCAUGGAAGAUUCUCGUUGCUCACAAGUUUUGGUUAUGGUGAUUAUGAUGAGAAUGACCGCAUUCGAUGUGUUACUAAAGCGUUGAAUUUUCCGUUUGGAGCGGACGACGUUGACUCACUUUGUCACUGUGAUGGCAUUUUUUGCAUAAUAUAUUCAGGGGAAAAUGCUGUUUUGUUCAAUCCCGCAAUCAAGGAAUCCAGAGUUCUUCCGACACCAUGCUUUAAUAUUAUUUGUCUGUUGGAAACGGGAUUUGGCUAUGAUCCCAGGGCUAAUGACUACAAGGUUGUUAGGUUUGGAGCUUCUUGGGUGGAGGGUUGUUUUAAGAUUAAGAAUGUAGCUGAAGUGUAUAGUAUGACAACUGACUGUUGGAAAGAGAUUGAGAUGCAAAUCGAACUUCGUGGCACAUAUUCUGAUAAAAAAGUAUUUUGCAAAGGAGUUUUUUAUUGGCUUGUUUGCGACAUUGAUUACUUCGACGCGGUCCUUUCUUUUAAUAUGAGUGAUGAGGUAUUUGGUGUGAUACCUUUACCAAAUGAUCUUGGAGACCUUCAAACGUUAGGAAAUAUUGAACUUGCAGUGUGGAGCGAAGUUGUUGCCCUCUGUUUCAUUUCAGAAGAAAGUGAGGAUCCAAUAUUGUAUUUAGAAGUGCGGAUGAUGAAUGAUUGUUCCAGUGGUGCUAAAGGUUCUUGUUGUUGGGUCAAACAUCUAAGGAUCCAACUCUUUGAAGGCAGAUUUUAUCCACGCAUAUUUUGGAAGAAUGAUGAACUCCUUAUGGUUGGGCAAAAUACUGAUGAAUGGCUGGUGUCCUACAAUCUUUGCAGCAAAAAGAUUAGGAAUGUUAUGGUUCAUGGGGCGGUGCCAAGUUGGUUGGGAAUUUUGUACGCUGGGAGUCUUGUCUCAGUGCGUAGAAGGGAACAAGCUUAGUUGCAAGUAUAAAUAUGAUGUAAUUGUGCUAUGGCAAACAAAUUGACAGUGGUAUCACUGAAGCAGUUGAAGCUUAUAGGGUCCUAUAAGAUGUGGGAAGGCACCCUUAGCUGCGAAGAAGCGGCCUUAUGGGAUUGAUGGUGCAUUACCACCAAAGAAGGAUUUGAGUCAAUUUGUCAAAUGGCCACAUGUUGUUCGAAUUCGAAGAAAAAGGUGGAUUCUUAAGAAGCAUUUGAAUGUGCCUCCUCACAAAUACUUUGGAGUUGGACAAGGACCUUGAUUGUUUAGAAGAAGAAAGCUUCAGCUUUAUGCCUUACAUCAGUAAAGAAUGAAGAUAAACUGGAAUUUAGUAGAUUAUCUGAGGCAGUUAAGGCCGAGUUUAAUUAUAAGUACAAUCAGCAUCGAAUAGAGCAGCAAGUUUACACUG